AUGACAACCAUACUUCCUGAUGAUCCUGUGGACAUGGGAAAGCAUAAUGGCAACAAUAAUGGAGUGCUGAAAGAUGAUGAGGAGGAGAGUAAGCAGGAGGGCAUUGGUGGGGAACUAUCUCACCUAAACAGGGAUAUAAAGAACACUGCGAGAACUACCGAGCUGAAUCUUCCAUCUCUUACUGUUCAGGAUAUUGUUAACCGUGUAAAAUCAAAUCCAGGAGAUCCUUGUAUUCUUGAGACUCAAGAGCCACUUCAGGAUUUGGUCAGAGGUGUUCUUAAAUUAUUAUCAUCUAAAUCACCUCCUUUAGGAGCAAAAGGUUGGAAAGCAGUUUUGAAAUAUGAAAAAUCUACAAAAUCCUGGUCCUGGAUUGGUCCACGGAGUCCUUCAGAUCAGGAAACUAUCGAGGAGNAUGGCAAUGACAACCAUACUUCCUGAUGAUCCCGUGGACAUGGGAAAGCAUAAUGGCAACAAUAAUGGAGUGCUGAAAGAUGAUGAUGAGGAGAGUAAGCAGGAGGGCAUUGGUGGGGAACUAUCUCACCUAAACAGGGAUAUAAUGAACACUGAGCGAACAACCGAGCUGAAUCUUCCAUCUCUUACUGUUCAGGAUAUUGUUAACCGUGUAAAAUCAAAUCCAGGAGAUCCUUGUAUUCUUG
rnacentral:lncRNA from 1 species